AACGAACGCUGGCGGCAUGCCUAACACAUGCAAGUCGAACGAGAUCUUCGGGUCUAGUGGCGCACGGGUGCGUAACGCGUGGGAAUCUGCCCUUUGGUUCGGAAUAACAGUUGGAAACGACUGCUAAUACCGGAUGAUGACGAAAGUCCAAAGAUUUAUCGCAAGAGGAUGAGCCCGCGUAGGAUUAGCUAGUUGGUGUGGUAAAGGCGCACCAAGGCGACGAUCCUUAGCUGGUCUGAGAGGAUGAUCAGCCACACUGGGACUGAGACACGGCCCAGACUCCUACGGGAGGCAGCAGUGGGGAAUAUUGGACAAUGGGCGAAAGCCUGAUCCAGCAAUGCCGCGUGAGUGAUGAAGGCCUUAGGGUUGUAAAGCUCUUUUACCCGGGAUGAUAAUGACUGUACCGGGAGAAUAAGCUCCGGCUAACUCCGUGCCAGCAGCCGCCGUAA
rnacentral:rRNA from 1 species